GUGCUCAUUUUGGCAGCACACCUACUAAAAUUGGAACCGUACAGAGAUUAGCACGGCCCCUGCACGAGGAGGAUGCGCAAACUCUGUGAAGCAUUCCAGAUUUUG